UCAAACACAUGCUGUUAGGGCUCUGAGUCUCACUUUCAGGCUCUCUGUCAUCUCCUGACUCUUCCAGGGGACAUAAAAACAAUACCCUCAUACACCAGUUCCACCAAAAAGAUUUUCUUUAUUGUUGUUAUUACUGAAGCAUUGAUAUCCUUAUAUUUUAUAUCUAUAUGUACAGAUUUUACAUGUCCUAUACUUUACACAAUAUACACAUGCAUAUGCACACACGAUUUUGACAUAUCACAGUAAAAAAUUUAGAUGUGAUACUAGUCUAUAGCUCAAUUUAAGAUAGAAAGCCAUAGCCUAAAUGUGCUGGCUUUGUUUCCCAGCAUCUCAGUUUUCUUUACAAUUUGAGAAAGUACUAUUUGAGUAUUUAUUAUUAUUAUUUGAGUAUUAUUAUUACUUGAGGCAUAAUAAUAUUAAUCUUUAAUGGCCUUUACUCUACUGAACAUGCCUAUGUACCCAUUCCCACUGAAAUUUCCCUUCUAGCCACACAUAGUCAUUACCCUGAUUUAAUGUAAAGGCAACUGAGGCCCAUAUGAAGUGACCUCCUCAAGCCAUUCAGGUGUUAGAGUGGAGUCAGAAAAAACAAAGCCUUGGCUGGUAGCCCUGGGCUCUUUCUGAGAAUCCACAAGAACUGAGUGAAUAUUUCAAACAUAUUUUCUGAAUGAAAAAACUCCCCAUAGUCUCUGGCAGUUAGUACCUAAGAAGAUAAAGCAGAGUAUUAAAAAUCCAUGUACACUCUAGUGAAAAUGUCCAGACUUUGUUGGAGUGAGAGGCUCAAAGCACCUGUCAAGGUACGCUAUAAUGAGAAAUGAUCAUGACUGGAAUGUUCUCCUUUAUCUCACCAGCUCUAUAACCCAAAUUUUAUCAAAGACUUCAGGCCUGAAGAGCUCAGACCGCAUUUUGUCAUUAAUAUUCACCACCAUACCCUUUAAGGGUAUGGGUAUGUGUUAUUAGCAUCACAUUUCAGAUGAAAAUACACCAUGAAAAGAACCAUAGCAUUUGUGCCUGGCUUAAGGAUUCAGAGACUGCUUCCUUUUAGAACCAUCUCUUAUGUCUGAUUCAGCUUUGCCCUCCUGUAGGAAACAACACAGAUAAACCAAGUGGGAUGCUCUUUUCAGCCUAAUGUCCCCAGUGUCAAAGUCUGACUAAAAUAAUAAGAUCAAAGCCCUAGGACUAUGAUGAAAAUGAAAGUCCGUGAUGGAGCAAGAUUGGCAAAGAAGCUAUUAUGUAUUGGCCUAGAUACUCAAAUGUCCUUUGAAAAAUAUUAAAAAUACAGAUGUCUAUUAUUAUAUAAUAGCAUUAAGACCUAAACCUCAGCCAUCUUUAGAAAUCCAAGCAAUGGUCACCCAAGAGCUAGGCUUUCAAUAUUUUCCCUCUUUUCUUUUUUUCUGGUACUGAGCUACAUACCCCCGCCCCUUUUUUUGAGACAGGUCUUGCUAAAUUACCCAAUUGUCCAGAACUUAUGAUCUGCUGCAUCACAUUUGAUUCUAUUGUGACCAUUUAGCAUGAUCUUGAACAUACAAGCUGUAAUUUCACAGCUUCAAACACUUUACUGUGUCUAUGAAAUCUACAUUUUUUUUAAAAAGCCGGUCACUGACACCUGACAUGAACCACACCAACACUCACUGAAAAGACUGUAAGAAGUGUCAUCCUGGGUAAGUCAGUGGUGCAUCUGAUCGAGAAUUCUGUCACUGUUAUCUGAAACACUCAUGGGAGGGCAUGAGCUCUUAAAACUAAUGUUGCACUUCUAAGAACUUUGCCUCAUCAAUACAAAAAUCACAUAAAAUCAUUCAUUGCAGUGAUAUUUGUAAUCACAGAACCUGGGAACAAACUAAAUGGUUAUUAAUAAGCAACUGGUUGAACAGACUGUGGCACAGCCAUACAAUAGACUAUCAUUCAGCUAAAAAAAAUAAGAUCUUUAUGCAACAAUAAGGAAGAUUCCAAGGAUAUAUUGGUAAGUAAAUUAAAUAAUAUAUAUACACUCGAAUGUCCAUAGGAUGCCGCUAUCAUUCAAAAGCUAUGGGAUGGAUAUUUUUCAGACAUUUUGCACAUACUUACUGUGCAUCUUCUACAUCCCAGAAACUGUUCUAGCUACUGGGGACAUGGCAGUAAAGAAGAAAAUAGACCAAACUCCUAGCCUUCCAGAAGCUUAUUCUCAUUUUCUCAUGCCAGGAUACUCGUGUCUGAGGCCCCCUGACAAUUCUGUCUGUCUCAUUUGGGAUCUCUCAUGUAUACUUAGUCAGACAGCUGCUGGAGCUGGAGCCAACUAAAAAAUUAAUUAGAAUGCUGUACUACUACAAACUGCCUCUGAUGUCACAUGAUCUGUGUGUCUGUCUUCAUAUAGCCUUCUUAUAAAGAUGUCAGCCACUGGAUUUUGAGUCCAUCUACUUCAUUCUAACCAUCUUUCACACAGACUCUCCAUCAGAGAGAGAAAAUUCAUAGCCAGUUCAAAGUUCUCAGAAGCACAAAAAUGGAAGCUACCUGGCCUUAUAAAGUUAGUGGAAUGUGUCUAGCAAUAUUUUACAUGCUGAGAUCACAGUGGAGAACAACACAGGCACAAGACCCCAUGUCAAACAACUUUCAUUGUAGUAGAGACAAUACCACUGAAUUCUUGCUUAGAACUCUUGGUUGUUGUAGUAGUGUGGAAAAAAUAAUGAACUACAUCUGACACCUGGGCUCUCUCUCUGCAGUGAGUUCCAGACAGAGUAAAAGAUAACAUAACUCAAUCAUAUCCUGAACCAGACAGUCUGAAAUCCAUCGAUAUCUAGAUGUCUCCUCCAUUCAUACAAUUACUUAUCCUUGUUCAAAGAGCUCUCUAAUUUUUAUCUUCUUUAUAAAGUUUUUUAAAAUGGCUAAUGCUUUGGGGAUGAGUAAAGAGGUGAUGAGAACUUUACAAAAGGGAAGAAAAAGUGAGUUUCCUGGACAGUUCAAAAUUGCCUCUCCCCUUCCGUCCAAAUUUUUGGACUCUAGAAUUGUGACACUUCCCUAAAUUAUUAAUACACAUCUGCUCAAAUUAUGAUUUAUAUCUCAAUUGACCCAUUUGGCAGGAAUGACAGACUGCAAAUUGUGAAAUGGAAUGAUAUCAUAUGAUUUUUUAACAUUGCUAUCUCUAGCAUACACCUGUUACAGAGAACGCCAGAUGUUAAUCAGCAGAUGUUCCUGGGGCUCACAAAGAAAAACAGGCAGUUUGGAUUUCAGGUCAGAUCUUCACAAAUUCCCCUCCUCCCAGGGUUCAGGAAUGAGCACAGCCAUGAGUACUAUCACCACCAACAACUGCACCGACCCCUUACUCCCAUUGCUGUCAAAACCUAAGGAUACAAAAUCCAAGGAUGAAGCAAAAGGCAAACGUGAAUAAUCAUUCCAACCAAGUUGAUCCUGACAUGGAGCAGAGGUAACUGGGAACCUCAGAAGGAGAACUACAGGGCUAUGUGGGGAAGCAGCCUGCAUGCCCAAGCACCUGGUUCUCACUGCCACACAUACAGUGCAGCCAACUUUCAAGACUCAGCAAUGGCAAAGAGCAGAUUAUAUCCUUAUGUUGUAUACAAUUGAGAAAAUUGAGGACUAUACAAGAAGAUAUUUUUGGUAUAUUUAAAACUUCGCAAUAGAAGCAUGAGAUUUUGAGCCAGAAAAAUUUCACUCUCUUAAAAUCUAGUGUGGCCUAUCACCCAAAAGAGAUGAAGUUUUUACCAUUGAAUCUGAAUAUGUCUCAAUGGCCUGCAGGGAAUACAAUUUUCUGGAAAACAGACCUGGCCUCUGCCCAUGUGGAGCUUCUAUUUCACUGGGAAAGAGAGUCAUUGAGUAAAUAAUUACAUAAACAACAGUAAUAGUAAAAACUGUACUCUUCUAACAGAGAGAUUCAUGGUGUUGUAAGGGUGUAACAGGAAAACUUGAUGUAGUCUGGAAAGGGGAACAGGAAAGGUGUCCAUACGGAAUUGACAUGUGAUCUAAGAACUGAAGAUGAAUUCAGCAGACUGGAGGGCUGAAAGCAUAUCAGACAGCAAAAAUAGCAUGUGUAAAAUUCUUGCAGUGGAAUAAAGAUGUUCAAAUAAAAGAAGGCCUGAGUAUAAAAAGCAAGGGGAAAGGAGCCCAGAUAAGCAUGGUUUCUCCAGGUAGAGGCCAGACUUCACAGAGUCUUAUGCUAAAUGCAUUGUUCUCUAAGAACAAUGAGAACAAUUAAAAGAAUGAAGGGGAGGCUUGUAGGUUCAUAGUUGCAUUUAGAAAAGAUCUCUUAGACUGCAGUGAAGAUGGAACAAUAGAGCAGAUGAAGAGGAACAAUCCAGAUGUGAGGAGACCAGUCAGGGUUCUUAAUGGUUAAUUUUAUGUCAAUUUGACUGGGCUGAGAUAAUCAAAUAGCUGGUAAAACACUACUUCUGAGUGCAUCUGUGAGGAUGUUUCUAGAAGAGAUUAACAUUUGAGUUGGUAAACUGAAUAAUGAAGAUCACCCUCACCGUGUGAGUGAGCAUUAACUGUUUCAGUCCAUUGAGCCAACAGAACAAAGGCAGAGGAAAGGUAAAUCCACUGCUUGAGCUAGAAGAUCCAUCUUUUCCUGCCCCUCAGACUCCUGGACUCCUGGUUCUCAAGCCUCCAGAGACUCACACCACUGGCACCCCUGGUCAUCAGCCCUUUGUGCUACUGGCUUUCCUGAGCCUUCAUUUUGCAGACUGCAAAAUGUGGGACCUAACCUCCAUCACUGCAUAAGCCAAUCCCUAUAAAUCCCCCCUCCCCAUUUCUAUCUGAGACAAGAGAUAUGCAGUUCAGGCUGGGCUUGAACUCACAGCAAUCCUUCUGCCUCAACUUCCAGAGGGCUAGAAUUACAGGAGUGCGCCACCACAUUCAGCCUUGUCCUGUAUCUCUAUGUAUCCUACUGGCUCUGAUUCUCUGGAAAGCCCUUACUAACACAGAAGUCCAUGGCACUAGUUUGGAUGAGAGAUAAUAUUUGGACAAGGGUAAUGGCUAUGGAGAUGCAGAGAAGAAGGCUGCUUUGAAACAUUUCUGAGGUAUCAAUGACAUAACUCAGUAAUGGAUUAGGUACAGAAUUGAAUGUGAGGGAUAAGCAUUAUGAUGCCCAGGUGUCUAACUCAUACCAUCAAAUGAAAGAUGGUUUCCUUCACGGAUGAAGGGAACAUUUAAGAGGACUGAGUUUAAAGGGGGAAAUACUUAUAUCUGGUUUUAGAUAUAUUUAGUUUGAAGUGUUUCUAAGACAUUUAAGUGGAGAUUUUUGGUAGGCAACUGAAGGUAGAUGUUAUUGAAGCUUUGGUGGUGAUUGAACUCCUAAAUGUGAAUGAGAUCACUUUAUAAACCAAUGGCAAUACGGGAUGCUGGUUCAGAGCAGGUGUCUGGAAAUAAAAAUGACUAAGUUUCCAGCCCAGGGUUAUAACUUUUUGUAACUGUACAAUGUACAACCAUGAAGAAAUUAUUCAGAUAUUCUAAAAC
rnacentral:lncRNA from 1 species